GUGAACGCUGGCGGUAGGCCUAACACAUGCAAGUCGAACGGCAGCACCGUAAGAGCUUGCUCUUACGGGUGGCGAGUGGCGGACGGGUGAGGAAUACAUCGGAAUCUACUUUUUCGUGGGGGAUAACGUAGGGAAACUUACGCUAAUACCGCAUACGACCUACGGGUGAAAGCAGGGGAUCUUCGGACCUUGCGCGAUUGAAUGAGCCGAUGUCGGAUUAGCUAGUUGGCGGGGUAAAGGCCCACCAAGGCGACGAUCCGUAGCUGGUCUGAGAGGAUGAUCAGCCACACUGGAACUGAGACACGGUCCAGACUCCUACGGGAGGCAGCAGUGGGGAAUAUUGGACAAUGGGCGCAAGCCUGAUCCUGCCAUACCGCGUGGGUGAAGAAGGCCUUCGGGUUGUAAAGCCCUUUUGUUGGGAAAGAAAAGCAGCUGGUUAAUACCCCGCUGUUCUGACGGUACCCAAAGAAUAAGCACCGGCUAACUUCGUG
rnacentral:rRNA from 1 species